CGGGUGUGGUUCAAUGGUAGAACUUGAGCCUUCCAAGCUCAUAACGCGGGUUCGAUUCCCGUCACCC
rnacentral:tRNA from 1 species